rnacentral:rRNA from 1 species
AUGGUCACGUCCACCAUUAUAGCUGAAGAAGAAACAAGGACACAUGUGAUCAAGAUAGAGGGAUACUCAAGAACCAAGGAGCAGCUCCAGGCCAAGAACUAUACGAAAUCUGUCCCUUUUAAGGUCGGAGAUCACAACUGGGCUGUGAAGUAUUACCCAAACGGUUGCACGGCACAUGAUUACAUAUCUGUUUAUCUGGUUCUUCAUUCGGCUGGUUCCAAGGAUGUCAAGGCGAAAUUCACCUUUAGUUUACUUGACGAUGGUGGAGAACCAGUGCCUUCAUACACCAAAACUCUCGCACAACAUAUCUUCCCAAGCAAGGGUUCAGACUGGGGUUUGCCUCGUUUUAUCGAGCACAAGGAUCUCGAGGGAUCAGUGCAUCUAAGAGGCGAUAGUUUCAGAAUCAGGUGCGAUGUCACCGUCAUGAAGAUCUGUAGCAAAGAGUCACAUGAGAAUCAGUUUGUUGUGGUUCCUCCAAGCAACAUGCAUCAGCAGCUCCGUAGCCUCCUGGAAAGCAAGGAUGGAGCAGACGUGGCCUUUCAAGUCGACGGCGAGAUGAUCUCGGCUCAUAGAUCUGUGCUUGCUGCUCGUUCAUCUGUCUUCAAGGCAGAGCUCUUUGGUACCAUGAGGGAGAAAGCUGGUGAUCCGAUCGAAAUUGAUGAUAUAGAAGCUGAUGUGUUCAAAUCCUUGCUCCAUUUCAUCUACACGGACUCACUCCCCGAGACGACUCGUGAAGAUGUGGUGACAGCUAGCCAUCUACUUGUAGCGGCGGACAGAUACGACAUCGAGAGGCUGAAGCUGAUAUGCGAGGAGAAGUUGUGCAAUCACAUUGACACAAAAGUUGUUGCCGCGAGUUUGGCUUUGGCCGUGCAGCAUAACUGCCAUGGACUCAAGGAGGCUUGCUUUGAGUUCCUUGCUUCUCCUUCCAAUUUGGAGGCAAUGAUCGCAAGUGAUGGCUACCAGCAUCUCAAAAGCAGCUGCCCGUCUGCUCUCAAAGAGUUCAUUGCUAGAUUCUUGCCUGUUGAGCUGAUAGCAGCCAAGGAUAUUAUCAUGUCAAUUUGA